GAUGAACGCUGGCGGCGUGCCUAAUACAUGCAAGUCGAGCGAACAGACGAGGAGCUUGCUCCUCUGACGUUAGCGGCGGACGGGUGAGUAAUACGUGGAUAACCUAUCUAUAAGACUGGGAUAACUUCGGGAAAACGGAUCUAAUACAGGAUAAUAUAUUGAACCGCAUGGUUCAAUAGUGAAAGACGGUUUUGCUGUCACUUAUAGAUGGAUCCGCGCCGCAUUAGCUAGUUGGUAAGGUAACGGCUUACCAAGGCAACGAUGCGUAGCCGACCUGAGAGGAUGACCAGCCACACUGGAACUGAGACACGGCCCAGACUCCUACGGGAGGCAGCAGUAGGGAAUCUUCCGCAAUGGGCGAAAGCCUGACGGAGCAACGCCGCGUGAGGGAUGAAGGUCUUCGGAUCGUAAACCGCUGUUAUUAGGGAAGAACUCAUGUGUAAUUAACUAUGCACGUCUUGACGGUACCUAAUCAGAAAGCCACGGCUAACUACGUG
rnacentral:rRNA from 1 species